rnacentral:rRNA from 1 species
GGGGGGGCAAGCGUUGUUCGGAAUUACUGGGCGUAAAGGGCGCGCAGGCGGCCCGGCCAGUCCCUUGUGAAAUCCCACGGCUCAACUGUGGAACUGCAGGGGAUACUGCCAGGCUUGAGUCCGGGAGAGGGUAGUGGAAUUCCCAGUGUAGCGGUGAAAUGCGUAGAUAUUGGGAGGAACACCGGUGGCGAAGGCGGCUACCUGGACCGGUACUGACGCUGAGGCGCGAAAGCUAGGGGAGCAAACGGGAUUGGAUACCCCGGGUAGUCCUAGCUGUAAACGUUGAGCACUUGGUGUGGCGGGUAUCGACCCCCCCGCUGUGCCGAAGCUAACGCAUUAAGUGCUCCGCCUGGGGAGUACGGUCGCAAGGCUG